GAUGAACGCUGGCGGCGUGCCUAAUACAUGCAAGUCGAGCGAACAGACGAGGAGCUUGCUCCUCUGACGUUAGCGGCGGACGGGUGAGUAACACGUGGAUAACCUACCUAUAAGACUGGGAUAACUUCGGGAAACCGGCGUUAAUACCGGAAAAUAUAUUGAACCGCACGGUUCAAUAGUGAAAGGUGGUUUUGCUGUAACUUAUAGAUGGAUCCGAGCCACAUUAGCUAGUUGGUAAGGUAACGGCUUACCAAGGCAACGAUGCAUAGCCGAACUGAGAGGGUGAUCGGCCGCACUAGAACGGGGACGCGGGGCAGACUCCUGAGUGAGGCACCGGUAGGGAAUCUUCCGCAGUGGGCAGAAGCCGGUCGGGGGAACGGCGCGUGAGUGAGGAAGGUCUUCGGAGCGUAAAACUCUGUUGUUAGGGAAGAACAAACGUGUAAUUAACUAUGCGCGUAUUGACGGUACCUAAUCAGAAAGCCACGGCUAACUACGUG
rnacentral:rRNA from 1 species